UACGUAGGGGGCAAGCGUUGUCCGGAUUUACUGGGCGUAAAGAGCGUGUAGGCGGCCACGCAGGUCCGUUGUGAAAACUGGAGGCUCAACCUCCAGCUGUCGACGGAAACCGUAUGGCUAGAGUCCGGAAGAGGAGAGUGGAAUUCCUGGUGUAGCGGUGAAAUGCGCAGAUAUCAGGAGGAACACCGGUGGCGAAGGCGGGUCUCUGGGCCGAUACUGACGCUGAGGAGCGAAAGCUAGGGGGAGCAAACGGG
rnacentral:rRNA from 1 species